rnacentral:rRNA from 1 species
GACGAACCGUGCGAACGUUGUUCGGAUUCACUGGGCUUAAAGGGCGCGUAGGCGGAUUACCAAGUCGGGGGUGAAAUCUUUCGGCUCAACCGGAAAAUAGCCUUCGAUACUGGUAGUCUUGAGGGAGGUAGGGGCAGGUGGAACUUCUGGUGGAGCGGUGAAAUGCGUAGAUAUCAGAAGGAACGCCGGUGGCGAAGGCAGCUCGCUGGGACGGUACUGACGCUGAGACGCGAAAGCGUGGGGAGCAAACAGG